rnacentral:rRNA from 1 species
GAAGACCAAGGGUUCCUGUCCAACGUUAAUCGGGGCAGGGUGAGUCGACCCCUAAGGCGAGGCUGAAAAGCGUAGUCGAUGGGCAACGGGUUAAUAUUCCCGUACUGGUGGUAACUGCGAAGGGGGGACGGAGAAAGCUAAAUCAUCCGGGCGACGGUUGUCCCGGUUUAAGCGUGCAGGUGGACUGACCAGGCAAAUCCGGUCGGUUGUUAACACUGAGGCGUGACGACGAGCCACUACGGUGGUGAAGUGAUUGAUGCUCUGCUUCCGGGAAAAGCCUCUAAGCUCCAGGUUACCAUUAAUCGUACCCCAAACCGACACAGGUGGUCAGGUAGAGAAUACUCAGGCGCUUGAGAGAACUCGGGUGAAGGAACUAGGCAAAAUGGUGCCGUAACUUCGGGAGAAGGCACGCUGGCACUAGGUGAAGUCCCUUGCGGACGGAGCUG